rnacentral:rRNA from 1 species
AAAUUGAAGAGUUUGAUCAUGGCUCAGAUUGAACGCUGGCGGCAGGCCUAACACAUGCAAGUCGAACGGUAACACAGAGGAGCUUGCUCCUUGGGUGACGAGUGG